GAGAAGACCCUCCGCCCGGCAGCCGCCCCGUAUGAGAAGAAGAGCGUGUGCAUUCAAACUUGUUCAUUCAUUAAUUUGAGUUGAAGGGAGGGGGACGUCCUUGGUGGAAAAGUUAAAGAAAGUGCUCUGGAUGAGAAAUUCACAGGGAGACAUAAGACAACAGCUCAGAGUGGAAGAAAUAGAUGUUCUCAGGAAGAGGCUGUAUGCUGUCCUGGUUUCGAGCAUCUGCCCUACAGUCAGAAUGCCUGCAUUUGAAAUAAGUUUCUGCCACGAACUAGCUGUAAGAC
rnacentral:lncRNA from 1 species